ACGGCCAAUGUUUGUAAAAAUAAAUUCAGGGCAGAAAAUCACUUUUUUUCUAUAAGAAAGUCGCCAUGUAUUUGUUCUUUUCUUGUAUUUUAUUCUUUUUCAUUAAAAUUCCCUAAAAUGCGAACAUUUUCCUUAUUUGGCAACACCGAUUGCAGAAAUUUCUAAAAAACACACAAUCUCUUAAAAUCAUUUAUCAAAGGCUACACAAAAUUUGAUAAGUUUCAAUUUAUUUGUUUAAGUCUCUUCCUGGCACUUGAGAGUAUCUAAAAAUCUAUUCCAGGCAUUUGAGGCACUUCGACUGCCUCUAAGAAAUUUUUAAGUAUUCUUAGGUCUCUUCCUGGCACUUGAGAGUAUCUGAAAUUCUAUUUCAGGCAUUUGAGGCACUUUGGCUGCCUGUAAGAGACUUCUAAGUCUUCAUAAGUCUCUUCCUGGCCCUUGAGAGUAUCUGUGAGUCUAUUCCCGGCAUUUGAGGCAGUUCGACUGCCUCUAAGAAAUUUUUAAGUCUCCUUAGGUCUCUUCCUGGCACUUGAGAGUAUCUGAAAUUCUAUUCCAGGCAUUUGAGGCACUUUGGCUGCCUUUAAGAGACUUCUAAGUCUUUAUAAGUCUCUUCCUGGCCCUUGAGAGUAUCUGUGAGUCUAUUCCAGGCAUUUGAGGCACUUCGACUGCCUCUAAGACAUUUUUAAGUCUUCUUAGGUCUCUUCCUGGCACUUGAGAGUAUCUGAAAUUCUAUUCCAGGCAUUUGGAGGCACUUUGGCUGUCUGUAAGAGACUUCUAAGUCUUUAUAAGUCUCUUCCUGGCCCUUGAGAGUAUCUGUGAGUCUAUUCCAGGCAUUUGAGGCACUUCAACUGCCUCUAAGAAAUUUUUAAGUCUUCUUAGGUCUCUUCCUGGCACUUGAGAGUAUCUGAAAUUCUAUUCCAGGCAUUUGAGGCACUUUGGCUGCCUGUAAGAGGCUUUUAAGUCUUCAUAAGUCUCUUCCUGGCCCUUGAGAGUAUCUGUGAGUCUAUUCCAGGCAUUUGAGGCACUUCGAGUGCCUCUAAGAAAUUUUUAAGUCUUCUUAGGUCUCUUCCUAGCACUUGAGAGUAUCUGAAAUUCUAUUCCAGGCAUUUGAGGCACUUUGGCUGCCUGUAAGAGACUUCUAAGUCUUCAAAAGUCUCUUCCUGGCCCUUGAGAGUAACUGUGAGUCUAUUCCAGACAUUUGAGGCACUUCGACUGCCUCUAAGAAAUUUUGAAGUCUUCUUAGGUCUCUUCCUGGCACUUGAGAGUAUCUGAA